CCUACGGGUGGCAGCAGUCGAGAAUCAUUCACAAUGGGGGAAACCCUGAUGGUGCGACGCCGCGUGGGGGAAUGAAGGUCUUCGGAUUGUAAACCCCUGUCAUGUGGGAGCAAAUUAAAAAGAUAGUACCACAAGAGGAAGAGACGGCUAACUCUGUGCCAGCAGCCGCGGUAAUACAGAGGUCUCAAGCGUUGUUCGGAAUCACUGGGCGUAAAGCGUGCGUAGGCUGUUUCGUAAGUCGUGUGUGAAAGGCGCGGGCUCAACCCGCGGAUGGCACAUGAUACUGCGAGACUAGAGUAAGGGAGGGGGAACCGGAAUUCUCGGUGUAGCAGUGAAAUGCGUAGAUAUCGAGAGGAACACUCGUGGCGAAGGCGGGUUCCUGGACAUUAACUGACGCUGAGGCACGAAGGCCAGGGGAGCGAAAGGGAUUAGAUACCCGAGUAGUC
rnacentral:rRNA from 1 species